UUUGGAGUGCCACAUGGGUGGUCUUUUGAUGUGGAGACAUUGAAGGGAGCUGGCUGGAGCAUAUGACAUAGUCUUAACUCAAUAUGCAUUCUUUCGACUCUCAACAUUAUUUACUAUUAACAUUUAUAGAUGCAUUUCACAUACAGGUAACAAACAGUCAAGGAGUAUGACGGUUUUUGAAUCUUUCAAAUGUGCCAACAUCUGCAGGACCGAUGAUUUGUGGCCUCGCCUUGUGCUAAGCUGAGCUUUCAAGGACCAACUUCUGUAUUCCAAUGGACAGACCAGUGCGCAUUGAAUUAAGAAUAUAGACACAGUUUCGUCUCCAUGGUCCACUACCAAAGUAAGGUACUGACAUCAAAUCCAUCCUACUUUGUGCUCGAAAAUAGAACCGUUUGUCCUGGACUUGGACCACUCGGCGACAGAAUUGGAAAACAACCCUCUUCUUGUGCGGAUUCUGUCUAUACAUAGACUCAAGAUUUGGGUUGAACAGGUGGUCCAAUCAGAUAAAAUCUCAAGUUUGAACUUUGAAUUCGUGAAAAUGUUGUUUUCUGUCAAAAAUAUUCCUGGUAAACUGGAUUACAGGCUCUCACGUGGAAAACAUGUAAUAUAACGAUUUUGCCUUUCAUUUUACGGCACGUCUUAGUUAUAAUGCUCUGGAAACCCCGAAAUAUUUGCCUUCUGCUUCCAACUUUCUGAUUAGCUGUCUAUUUGUAGGAUCUCUAUGUGUUUGUAUAAAUAUAUUUUGUAGUUUUUUUUCUUCUGAAGAAUUGUAUUUCUUAGAUGAGUUGUUCCCAAACGAAAUGAACAAUCAAUAACUGUGGAGCACUUCUUGUAAAUAGAACAGGCUGAGAGUCGUAGAUGUAGACUGGUCAUGUGGUCCAACGAUACGAUACAAUUCAAUUCAAUUCAAUGCCAA